CUGGAACCAUGCAGGAGACCCAGCUACUGCCAGAGACACCGAAGGAAGCAAAAGGAGGGGAUAUAUUGUGAUUUUUUUUUUCCAUGAUGAAAAGAAAAAAAUUCUGUGAAUCAAUCCAAAGAAAAUCCUAGUUGGCUCUUUUGUCAUCACCACAUCAGAAACACACUGAACACCACUGUCAAGGGAAACAUCACAUCAUCUUUCUGACAUUCAUCAGAGUUUGGUAACCCCUAGAACCAGAACUCCAGUGUCUCCUUUGACCCCAGAAGACCAUAACAGCUUCCAACAGAAGAUGGUCAUUUUAUAAAACAAAGGCUGGAAACCUGGUGCUAUGGACUUCUUGUUUGUAUCACCCCAAACUUCAUACACUGAAGCCCAGGAGGCUAUUCUUCGUUCCCUUCCUGAACAUGGGCACCUCAGUAUUUCUCAUUGCUGGGCACCCCUGAACUCCAUGAGAACAUACAAGAUGCUGGUGGAACAGCCCCCCAACUCACUUCUUGGAACUAAUGGAGACCUGUGAGCAGCAAGCAGUUCUUAACUGGAGAAACUGCAUAUCAGCCUAUCAUCACAGAUCCUAAUCAGAACAACAGAGGGAGGUAUGUUUCCAUUUCUCUCUUCAAGGAAUCUCUAAGACUCCAGGUUUUGCUGAGAAAACUGUUCCACUAGCCGGACAAGUCCUAUGGAAUCACUAUAAAAAGAAGAGAUCUUCCAGGAGUUCGCGAUUUUCUGUGGAGUGUUUUGCACAGUCUUUAUGCUCAGUCAGCCUGCCCUUUCUCCCCUCAUCUCUUUGUUCUUUGUGGGAACCUCUGACUAACAGAAUAGGGGAGUGAAGGAAACUCAAGACAGAAACCUCAACAAUGACUCAUCGACCUUUCUGUCACUUAUUCACCGAAGAGAUACCUUUCUGGACUUCACUGAAAGAACCUGAUUAAAAUACCUGUUCCCACAUUUCAAUUUCAUUUCACAAACAUGGCAACUGUUUACACUGUAAUUUUUGUUUAGUAUUUACAUCAGGAAAGGAAUAAGUUUUGAUUGCAAAGAAGGAUAUGGGUGACCUCGGGAUGUUAUGGUUAAGAAGGUGAAAGGUAAGGACUUCCCUGGAGGUCCAGCAGUUGACUCAGUGCUUCCCCUGCAGGGCGCAUGGGUUUGACCCCUGGUCAGGGAACCAAGAUCCCACAUGCUACCUGUGUAGCCAAAAAGCAGAAGAAAAAAAAUGAUGAAAGGGAAGUAUUAGAGUCAACAGAGUUCUUAGCCAGGUCUCAUUUCCCAAGCUCCCUCAUCCAGUGCUGGUAUCCUCC
ensembl:lncRNA